rnacentral:rRNA from 1 species
CCUACGGGGGGCAGCAGUGAGGAAUAUUGGUCAAUGGGCUUACGCCUGAACCAGCCAAGUCGCGUGAGGGAAGACUGCCCUAUGGUUUGUAAACCUCUUUUGUCAGGGAGCAAAUGGCACUACUAGUAGCGUUAUCGCGAGUACCUGCAGAGAAAGCAUCCGCUAACUCCGUGCCAGCCGCCGCGGUAAUACGGAGGAGGCGAGCGAUAUCGGGAUUGAUUGGGUUUAACGGGUGCGUAGGCAGACUGCGAAGUCAGCGUUAAAAUCGCGGGGCUAAACCUCGCUCCGCCGUUAAAACUGGUGUGCUUGAGUGGGCGAGAGGGGUGUGGAAUUCGAGGUGUAGCGGUGAAAUGCAUAGAUA